GAUGAAGAACGCAGCGAAAUGCGAUAAGUAAUGUGAAUUGCAGAAUUCAGUGAAUCAUCGAAUCUUUGAACGCACCUUGCACCCUCUGGUAUUCCGGAGGGUACGCCCGUUUGAGCGUCAUUGUAAUCUCACACUCCAGAUUCUACCCUGGGGGUUGUGGACUUGGAUGCUGCCGUGCGGCCACGGCUCAUCUCAAAUGCAUGAGUGUAUCCUGCCUUUGUGGUGCAUUCAGUGUGAUAAGCAACUUCGCUGGAAAGCAGUCCCUUGGGGCUGAGCCACACAAAGUAUGGUCCUGCACUUCCAACAGUCUUUGGACAAUGCCUGACAUUUUGACCUCAAAUCGGGUGGGAGUACCCGCUGAACUUAAGCAUAUCAAUAAGCGGAGGA
rnacentral:misc_RNA from 1 species